GGCGGAAUAGUUCAGUCGGAAGAACAGUAGAAUCAUAAUCUAAAAGUCGUUGGUUCGAACCCAACUCCCGCUA
rnacentral:tRNA from 1 species